GCUGGGCAUCGUGGCAGGAACCUGUAGUCCCAGCUACUUGGGAGGCUGAGGCAGGGGGAUCACUUGAGGCCAGGAGUUCAAGGCUGCAGUGAGCCAUGAUUGUGCCACUGCACUCUAGCCUGGGCAACAGAGUAAGAUCCUGUCUCUA
rnacentral:SRP_RNA from 1 species